AACGAACGCUGGCGGCAUGCCUAACACAUGCAAGUCGAACGAGACCUUCGGGUCUAGUGGCGCACGGGUGCGUAACGCGUGGGAAUCUGCCCUUGGGUUCGGAAUAACAGUUAGAAAUGACUGCUAAUACCGGAUGAUGACGUAAGUCCAAAGAUUUAUCGCCCAAGGAUGAGCCCGCGUAGGAUUAGCUAGUUGGUAAGGUAAAGGCUUACCAAGGCGACGAUCCUUAGCUGGUCUGAGAGGAUGAUCAGCCACACUGGGACUGAGACACGGCCCAGACUCCUACGGGGGGCAGCAGUGGGGAAUAUUGGACAAUGGGCGAAAGCCUGAUCCAGCAAUGCCGCGUGAGUGAUGAAGGCCUUAGGGUUGUAAAGCUCUUUUACCAGGGAUGAUAAUGACAGUACUUGAGGAGGAAGCCCCGGCUAACUACGUGCCAGCCGCCGCCGUAA
rnacentral:rRNA from 1 species